rnacentral:misc_RNA from 1 species
AACGCACCUUGCGCUCCUUGGUAUUCCGAGGAGCAUGCCUGUUUGAGUGUCAUUAAAUUCUCAACCUCACCAACUUUGGUUGUGUGAAGGCUUGGAUGUGGGGGUUGCAGGUCCGCUUUGGUGGUCUGCUCCUCUAAAAUGUAUUAGUGGGUUAGUCCCCUAAUCUAUUGGUGUGAUAAUUAUCUACGCCGUGGAUUGGGAUGGCUAUAUAGACUCGCUUCUAACCGUCCUUACGGACAACUUUGACAAAUUUGACCUCAAAUCAGGUAAGACUACCCGCUGAACUUAA